CAGCCGCCGCGGUAAUACGGAGGGAGCUAGCGUUGUUCGGAAUUACUGGGCGUAAAGCGCACGUAGGCGGUUAUUCAAGUCAGAGGUGAAAGCCCGGGGCUCAACCCCGGAACUGCCUUUGAAACUAGAUGACUGGAAUCUUGGAGAGGUCAGUGGAAUUCCGAGUGUAGAGGUGAAAUUCGUAGAUAUUCGGAAGAACACCAGUGGCGAAGGCGACUGACUGGACAAGUAUUGACGCUGAGGUGCGAAAGCGCGGGGAGCAAACAGGAUUAGAUACCCCCGUAGUCCCUGUCUCUUAUAC
rnacentral:rRNA from 1 species